rnacentral:rRNA from 1 species
AACGAACGCUGGCGGCAGGCUUAACACAUGCAAGUCGAACGCCCCGCAAGGGGAGUGGCAGACGGGUGAGUAACGCGUGGGAACCUACCUUGUGGUACGGAAUAACUCAGGGAAACUUGAGCUAAUACCGUAUGAGCCCUUCGGGGGAAAGAUUUAUCGCCAUAAGAUGGGCCCGCGUAGGAUUAGCUAGUUGGUGGGGUAAUGGCCUACCAAGGCGACGAUCCUUAGCUGGUCUGAGAGGAUGAUCAGCCACACUGGGACUGAGACACGGCCCAGACCCCUACGGGAGGCAGCAGUGGGGAAUAUUGGACAAUGGGCGCAAGCCUGAUCCAGCCAUGCCGCGUGAGUGAUGAAGGCCUUAGGGUUGUAAAGCUCUUUCGCCGGUGAAGAUAAUGACGGUAACCGGAGAAGAAGCCCCGGCUAACUUCGUGCCAGCCGCCGCCGCAGUAA